rnacentral:rRNA from 1 species
GAUGAACGCUGGCGGCGUGCCUAAUACAUGCAAGUCGAACGAGGUGCUUUUGUAGCAAUACGAGAGUAUCCUAGUGGCGAACGGGUGAGUAACGCGUGGGUGACCUGCCCCAACGUGUGGGAUCACAGUCCGAAAGGAUUGCUAAUACCUCAUGUGGUUAUCGGGUUUAGAAACCGAUAACUAAAGCAGCAAUGCGCUUUGGGAGGGGCCUGGGUCCCAUCAGCUAGUUGGUAGGGGAACGGCCUACCAAGGCGACGACGGGUAGGGGACCUGAGAGUGUGGUCCCCCACAAUGGAACUGAAACACGGUCCAUACACCUACGGGUGGCAGCAGUAGGGAAUAUUGCUCAAUGGGCGAAAGCCUGAAGCAGCAACGCCGCGUGUGCGAUGAAGGCCUUCGGGUCGUAAAGCACUUUUCUAAGAGAUGAGAAAGGACAGUAUCUUAGGAAUAAGUCUCGGCUAACUACGUGCCAGCAGCCGCCGCGGUAA